GAUGAAGAACGCAGCGAAAUGCGAUACUUGGUGUGAAUUGCAGAAUCCCGUGAACCAUCGAGUCUUUGAACGCAAGUUGCGCCCGAAGCCACUAGGCCGAGGGCACGCCUGCCUGGGCGUCACACGUCGUUGCCCCCCCCCCAUCUACUCCUUCGGGAUUGCGGGGGGCGGAUGAUGGCCUCCCGUGCGCCUAGCCGCGCGGUUGGCAUAAUUACCAAGUCCUCGGCGACGCACCCCACGACAAUCGGUGGUUGCGAAACCUCGGUUGCCCGUCGUGUGCGUUCGUCGCGCAUCGAGGGCUCGAAAAAAUGCUCGGCUCCGGCUCGGCUUUCAACGCGACCCCAGGUCAGGCGGGGUUACCCGCUGAAUUUAAGCAUAUCAAUAAGCGGAGGA
rnacentral:misc_RNA from 1 species